CAACCAUAAUAGGGGAGUCUCUCCACUGGAGGUGGCAUUGCGGUGCCCGGUGCUAACGAAUGUCCAGCGUGAGGUCAGUGGCCUCUUGUGGGGUAUCUGUGCGGGUUUUCCUCUGCUGUGUACUCUCGCGGGCUUAUGCCUGGGGUGCAUAUAGUUGCCAAGCUGGUCGCUCAUUGCAGGGUCCCCCCAGCUCCCCUGGCGUGACCAAUCCCCUCUAUUCCCCUCCAGGCCUGCUCCGGUCGGUCAUUCGAGGGUUCCACAAUGCUGUGGGCACUCAGGGAUGUCGGCAGCCCGGCAGACUCCCGCCCCUGCAAAGUCCUCGGGCCCCUCGUCCCCUGCACCUCCCCAACUCCUGCAGUUCCCCGUUGAGCUCCAGCCCCGUUAGGCCUUACCCCUCUCCGGCCUCUUGCAUGUCGCCAGCGCUUGUCUCCCCGGCCACCGGUCCGCCGGGGGUCCAGCUUGCCCCGACGUCAUAGGGCUCACAAAUCCAGGGGUUAGGGCCGGCUCUGUGCCGACCGUUUUGCUGCCCGGUGGAGUCUGUCUGUGGGAUCCGCCACCCCUAAGGGUCCAGGCGUCCCCGCGUGGCUCCCAGUAGCGAGCGUGUUCCGCGGCCAUCUUGGCUCCACUGGAGAAAGGGCUCCGCCAUGCGUGGGUCUUCUGCCUUCAGUCUCCAGAAAAUGGACUCAUGGGCCGGGAUCACCCCCGCCGGCCCGAGGGGAGGGGGGAGCGGGGCCGGGUCCGGUCCCCACCUCUCUCUCGUCUGGGCUCGCGGCUUCUGCGUGCAUGCCUCAUGGGUUCCUCGUGCUCUGGCAGGGCAGGUUGUUCGGCGUCGGCUUGGCAGAUUGAGCUCCUGUGCCUCUCCCCGCUUGGUGCUUAUGUCUGCCCUGGCUUCAGGUGGGCUUUUAGUGCUAUAUUUUGUUUUAUUUUGUUUUAUUUAAGCGAUCCGGAGCCGGAGCUGGCAUGGAUGGCUGCCGCUCAGCUCGGCGGCCCGGCCCCGCCCCCUC